rnacentral:lncRNA from 1 species
AUACUUAGGCUGUCGAUCCGGAUGAAACAGUCCCCAAAACUUCUCAUACGCAGCAUUAUCCUUCUUAUUCUCGUCGAACAUAGCGAAUAUAUAAGUCUCUAAAGGUUGACCUGGCCUUCUCGGUGUUCCAUUCUUCACAUGUUGUAUCAAACUGUUAGCAUAAGUCCUGGCGUUUCCGACACUUGCCCCUUUUCCUCCGUCCGUGGGCCAACCGCUCUCAGACACCCCGAUCUUCAUCGAUCCGCCUCCCGAUUUCGCCAGUGCCGCAUAAACAGAGUCUACACUUGCAUCGAAGAAAUUUUUGUAUUGCAAAUUGUUUCCGCUAUCAGUGAAUGCAGUGGACUGGGAGUUGAACAAAGCGAAAUCUAGAGAGACUUGGCCCGAGUUAUACAUGUGGCCGAAGUAAGGGUAGAUAUUCGCGAGCAUGGGAGAUUGCUUGCUCGUCAAGAAACCUAUCACUGGUCCAAGAAAGCUUAUAUACUCAUCCUUGAACCUUCCUCGAGAUGGAGGAUACGUUUCUAUGGUGGUGUCAGUGGAUAUAGACGUUGUGACCUUGACUCCAAGCCCUGCUCCAGAAAGGGCUCUCUCAAUGUUCUGCAAUGCGGGUAAGAGAAGCCCCCCAGUUGAGGGUUGCACCUCAUUCCCGACGUUGAUGUACCGGAACCUGACACUGUCACUGUAGCGCCGAACGUUUUCUUGGACCCACCUGUCCGCCUCCGGUUGGCUGUUGGCGACACGGUCAAGAUAUGCGUUGGGAACAUCGAGGAUGAGUUCGAUGCCAGAGCCACGGAGAGCGUUAAGAGCGCCUGGGUCAGGGCCGUAGAGACGCAUCCUCUGGAUGUUCUUUUGCUUGUAAAGAGCCACAACGUCAUAUGGACUUGGCAAACCUUCGCCUUGCAUCCCGUAGCAUACUCCAAUUUGUCCAGCUUUUCAUUUUUCCAAAAAAAAAAAUUGAAUCAGCAGUAAAAAUAAAUAAGAAUCAGUUUCUGUAGAUGGACAUGACUAAUAGAUGUUAAAAGUAGCUUAAAAGACGAUUGAACCUGUGGUGCUGAAGAAGGAAGAUACUACAAGGCUGAGAAGAAUUAUCAACAUUGGCCUUGAGGCAAAGAUCCUUGUGUUAGACAUUUUCAUGAUUUUGCUAUGAUACUGUGAAAUUUUAUGUGUUUACCUCUACAUUUACUGCCUAAUAUAUAGAGCGAACCGGCGAAGCCCUGGGGGUUCAAAAGUCAGUCAAUGAUAGAAGCAAAAAUAAGUUUGUGAAUGAAAAUCAUCUCUGUUUUCUUAAGUUUCAACUUUACCACUUAUUCACAAAUAACUCGAGAGACAAGUGUAUGUAUUUUUAAUGGUAAUCGCUCGCGCCGCCCCAUAACAAUAAUUAAUAUUCGUUUUUGUUUUCAAAGCAUUUGGAUUAGGAGAAAGGAUCAGAACAUUGGCUUGAUUUCCUUCUGUUGAAAAGUAUUCGUUUUUGUGUUUGGUAGCAAUGCUAAAGUAAUACUAGUAGUAUAUACUAUAUACUAAUUCAUUUUUUUUUAAACUCAAGUUUAAGUGAUUAAUUUGGGUAAUAUAUAUAUAUAUGUUGGAUCAUCACUUCAUCAGUGGAGUGUACCUGUGUACGCCGUUGGUAGAUUAGAUUAUACGACAAUCGUGGACCAUUAAAUACGUCGUUCAUAAUUGUUGGACCCAUCAAUGGACAAUGGUAGCUAAAAAGUUUUAAACAUGUAUAUUAGACUAGACAGGGAAGUCUUUAAAAUCUACUCUUUCGGAUCAAUACGGCUUUUCCUUAUCUGAUGAAUACGUGACCAAAUCCCAAAAUUGUUGAUAUUUUCGGAACCAAAACCUUGUUUUUUUUCUUUCUUUCUGAUAUGUACAUAUACUACUAGUACAUGCAUGUGAUGAGUUUCUUUACUUGUCCGAACCAAAGACUUAUCAUAAGUAUACUUCAAUUUAAGUAAAUUUAUACGUAAUGUAUUCAAAAACAAAAUCGUAUUAAUUAUCCUGUUAAGGUUUAUAGCCAACUUUAAAUAGCUACUUUACGGCAUAGUAAGUUGGACAAUCAGUACGAAAUCAGAAAAACAAAAAAAAAAGUAAAAAAUUUAGACCAUAUGGUUCAUGAAGGGACGUGUUGUGUGUUGUGUAUUAGCAGUGGUGUGUAGCGCAUGUGGGGAUAAAUGAAACGACGAAAUUUUAUUCUGAAAUGUCUAUUUUAGUUAGACGACAAAAUUAGAAAGACUUGACUACAGUUGACUUGUAAAUACUUUUCCACCAUAUUUUCAAAACGCCAUACUAAUUUUUCUUCACAAGCUAAAAGUCUCUUGAAUUUUUCUUUCUAUAUAUGUAAGAAAUUAUAUACGUAUAUAGAAGCACAAACAUCUUGUAAAAUCUUUUUCUUAUUACCUUUUAUUUGCCAAGAUUAUUCCAUCUUUAGGUAAUGCAUUGUGUAUUACUUUCCAUUCAUUUUAUAAUAUUAUAAGAAAAUACACAUCUUUUUUUUUUCUAUGUUAGGAGAAAAAUCAUAUCCAUUGUGGAUUUGUAUGCACCUAAUAAUUUACUGAACCUAUUUAAACGUUAAGAAAAAUUAUCACAAUUGUUUUUUCUUCCUCCUUCUCCGUUUUUUGUUGGGUUCGUAUAUAAAUCCUAAAAUGUCAAAUAGAUUAUCACAAUUCUUGGGUAUAUAUACAAUAAACAUAACAAAUAUGUAGAGACUCAUAUUUAUGUUAAUUGAUAAUGAGGAACAAGAUCGACGUUAUGAAAUCACAAUUAUAGGUUAUAAAAAUAAUUAAACUAAAUGAGUCGUUACAAUCCCUCAACUUUACCGAUAUCUAUAUAUUUCGUUUCAGAUAUAAAAUUAUACCAUUCCUCGAUAUAUAAAACAUUGGUUCAGCUUAACCAAAGUUAAUAUCGUACUAGACUGCUUGUUGGGUUGGAAGUUGAAACAAUCCCCAGAAAAAUAUAGACCAACAAAAUUUCAUAUUAGCUUGAUCAAUUUAAUUAUAAAAAUAAUUCCAUAUUGUAUAUUUUAAAACGAUGGAGUACAACAUAGUUAUGGCUCAUUCAUUAUUAUUCCUUACUGUUACAACAAAUUCCCACUCUUUUUUAAAUACCCUUACAGAAGGAACACAAAAAAAGCCCACAAGUCACUGACCAGACGACCCUUUCUUGUUCAAGAAGUCUUUGCAAGGAUUAGUUAAAAUUAACUUCAUACUUAGGCUGUUGACCCCGAAACAGUCCCCAAAACUUCUCAUACUCACCAUUAUCUUUCUUAUCCUCGUCGAACAUAGCGAAUAAAUAAGUCUCUAAAGGUUGACCUGGCCUUUUCGGUGAUCCAUUCUUCACAUGUUGUAUCAAAUUGUUAACAUAAGUCUUGGCGUUUUCAACACUGGCCCCAAAUCCUCCUUCCGUGGGCC